AGGGUUCGAUUCUGGCUCAGGAUGAACGCUGGCGGCGUGCUUAACACAUGCAAGUCGAACGGGAUCCAUCGGGCUUUGCUUGGUGGUGAGAGUGGCGAACGGGUGAGUAAUGCGUGACCGACCUGCCCCAUGCUCCGGAAUAGCUCCUGGAAACGGGUGGUAAUGCCGGAUGUUCCACAUGAUCGCAUGUGAUUGUGGGAAAGAUUCUAUCGGCGUGGGAUGGGGUCGCGUCCUAUCAGCUUGUUGGUGAGGUAACGGCUCACCAAGGCUUCGACGGGUAGCCGGCCUGAGAGGGCGACCGGCCACAUUGGGACUGAGAUACGGCCCAGACUCCUACGGGAGGCAGCAGUGGGGAAUAUUGCACAAUGGGCGCAAGCCUGAUGCAGCGACGCCGCGUGAGGGAUGGAGGCCUUCGGGUUGUAAACCUCUUUUGUUUGGGAGCAAGCCUUCGGGUGAGUGUACCUUUCGAAUAAGCGCCGGCUAACUACGUGCCAGCAGCCGCGGUAAUACGUAGGGCGCAAGCGUUAUCCGGAUUUAUUGGGCGUAAAGGGCUCGUAGGCGGCUCGUCGCGUCCGGUGUGAAAGUCCAUCGCUUAACGGUGGAUCUGCGCCGGGUACGGGCGGGCUGGAGUGCGGUAGGGGAGACUGGAAUUCCCGGUGUAACGGUGGAAUGUGUAGAUAUCGGGAAGAACACCAAUGGCGAAGGCAGGUCUCUGGGCCGUUACUGACGCUGAGGAGCGAAAGCGUGGGGAGCGAACAGGAUUAGAUACCCUGGUAGUCCACGCCGUAAACGGUGGAUGCUGGAUGUGGGGCCCGUUCCACGGGUUCCGUGUCGGAGCUAACGCGUUAAGCAUCCCGCCUGGGGAGUACGGCCGCAAGGCUAAAACUCAAAGAAAUUGACGGGGGCCCGCACAAGCGGCGGAGCAUGCGGAUUAAUUCGAUGCAACGCGAAGAACCUUACCUGGGCUUGACAUGUUCCCGACGACGCCAGAGAUGGCGUUUCCCUUCGGGGCGGGUUCACAGGUGGUGCAUGGUCGUCGUCAGCUCGUGUCGUGAGAUGUUGGGUUAAGUCCCGCAACGAGCGCAACCCU
rnacentral:rRNA from 1 species